UUAAUUUGAGAGUUUGAUCCUGGCUCAGGACGAACGCUGGCGGCGUGCCUAAUACAUGCAAGUCGAACGAACUCUGGUAUUGAUUGGUGCUUGCAUCAUGAUUUACAUUUGAGUGAGUGGCGAACUGGUGAGUAACACGUGGGAAACCUGCCCAGAAGCGGGGGAUAACACCUGGAAACAGAUGCUAAUACCGCAUAACAACUUGGACCGCAUGGUCCGAGUUUGAAAGAUGGCUUCGGCUAUCACUUUUGGAUGGUCCCGCGGCGUAUUAGCUAGAUGGCGGGGUAACGGCUCACCAUGGCAAUGAUACGUAGCCGACCUGAGAGGGUAAUCGGCCACAUUGGGACUGAGACACGGCCCAAACUCCUACGGGAGGCAGCAGUAGGGAAUCUUCCACAAUGGACGAAAGUCUGAUGGAGCAACGCCGCGUGAGUGAAGAAGGGUUUCGGCUCGUAAAACUCUGUUGUUAAAGAAGAACAUAUCUGAGAGUAACUGUUCAGGUAUUGACGGUAUUUAACCAGAAAGCCACGGCUAACUACGUGCCAGCAGCCGCGGUAAUACGUAGGUGGCAAGCGUUGUCCGGAUUUAUUGGGCGUAAAGCGAGCGCAGGCGGUUUUUUAAGUCUGAUGUGAAAGCCUUCGGCUCAACCGAAGAAGUGCAUCGGAAACUGGGAAACUUGAGUGCAGAAGAGGACAGUGGAACUCCAUGUGUAGCGGUGAAAUGCGUAGAUAUAUGGAAGAACACCAGUGGCGAAGGCGGCUGUCUGGUCUGUAACUGACGCUGAGGCUCGAAAGUAUGGGUAGCAAACAGGAUUAGAUACCCUGGUAGUCCAUACCGUAAACGAUGAAUGCUAAGUGUUGGAGGGUUUCCGCCCUUCAGUGCUGCAGCUAACGCAUUAAGCAUUCCGCCUGGGGAGUACGGCCGCAAGGCUGAAACUCAAAGGAAUUGACGGGGGCCCGCACAAGCGGUGGAGCAUGUGGUUUAAUUCGAAGCUACGCGAAGAACCUUACCAGGUCUUGACAUACUAUGCAAAUCUAAGAGAUUAGACGUUCCCUUCGGGGACAUGGAUACAGGUGGUGCAUGGUUGUCGUCAGCUCGUGUCGUGAGAUGUUGGGUUAAGUCCCGCAACGAGCGCAACCCUUAUUAUCAGUUGCCAGCAUUAAGUUGGGCACUCUGGUGAGACUGCCGGUGACAAACCGGAGGAAGGUGGGGAUGACGUCAAAUCAUCAUGCCCCUUAUGACCUGGGCUACACACGUGCUACAAUGGAUGGUACAACGAGUUGCGAACUCGCGAGAGUAAGCUAAUCUCUUAAAGCCAUUCUCAGUUCGGAUUGUAGGCUGCAACUCGCCUACAUGAAGUCGGAAUCGCUAGUAAUCGCGGAUCAGCAUGCCGCGGUGAAUACGUUCCCGGGCCUUGUACACACCGCCCGUCACACCAUGAGAGUUUGUAACACCCAAAGUCGGUGGGGUAACCUUUUAGGAACCAGCCGCCUAAGGUGGGACAGAUGAUUAGGGUGAAGUCGUAACAAGGUAGCCGUAGGAGAACCUGCGGCUGGAUCACCUCCUUUCUAAGGAA
rnacentral:rRNA from 1 species